AUUGAAAUACCGAUUCUUGUAUGAUCACCAAAGUUAAGCAACAUUGAACCUGGUCAGUACCUAGAUGGGUGACUGCUUGGGAAUACCAUGUGCAG
rnacentral:rRNA from 1 species